UUGAAUAGGAUAGAUAUUAUUCAAUAAAUUUCUUGAAUAUCUAUUUUUGCAAAAUGGAAGGACCAAAAGUAUACAAAUGGCUUUUGGCUUCUUCUUUAAUGCUUUCUGCAGUGGCAGUAUUCAUUUUGUUGUUUUGCUAGAAACCAUAUAUUAUUCUUUUGAAGGGAAUGAUUCAUAUAUAAAAAGGAAGCUGCAAGAAAAAGAAAGAUAUCUGCUCUAGAAAAAAUGAGGAUCUGGAGGUGUUUCAAGAGUCUUACUAUCUACCCUUUUAAGAGUAUCUUUAGUAAAGUGAAUUCAAACUUCAGAUUCAAAUCUCAAGGACACAGGAAUGGACUUGUAAGUCUUUAUAAAGACAUGGAGUCUUGUAGAGAAUAUGCGGAUAUUCAAGUCAUGUGGAAAAUGAUUGAAUCUUCAUCUCCUAAACAUGCCUGCAACAAGAAAAGGACCAAAAUUUUCUUCAUGGCCUAGUACAGGUUUAAAGAAUGAUUGAUAAAGUGAAGAGAACAGGGGACUAAAUUUGCAUCAUGUCAAUUCCAUUCCUUCAUACUUUCUAUCAUGUCAUUAGUUUUGUUUCCAUAGAAAGUGAAAGUGAAUGAUUAGAGUUCAAAGUUGUAUCUCAUGUAAAAACCAGUAUCUGAUAGUAAUCAACACUUGAAGUGUUUUUUUGAAAA